rnacentral:lncRNA from 1 species
GGGAGGAGAGGAGACGGGGGAGCUCGAGCUCGAGGGAUUUCUCUCAUUUUGCAUGGUUGAUUAUUAGCAGUAUUUACUUUUUUUUGUCCUUUUCUAAUGUUGACGGUCCUAUUUAUAGUUGCUGAGUGACUGAGUGUACAGUAGAUCAUCAAAGUUUUGAAAACGAUUGCGUGCGAAACAAGAGCUGGAAGUGUACAGU